AGCGAACGCUGGCGGCAGGCUUAACACAUGCAAGUCGAACGGGCGUAGCAAUACGUCAGUGGCAGACGGGUGAGUAACGCGUGGGAACGUACCUUUUGGUUCGGAACAACCCAGGGAAACUUGGGCUAAUACCGGAUAAGCCCUUACGGGGAAAGAUUUAUCGCCGAAAGAUCGGCCCGCGUCUGAUUAGCUAGUUGGUGUGGUAACGGCGCACCAAGGCGACGAUCAGUAGCUGGUCUGAGAGGAUGAUCAGCCACAUUGGGACUGAGACACGGCCCAAACUCCUACGGGAGGCAGCAGUGGGGAAUAUUGGACAAUGGGCGCAAGCCUGAUCCAGCCAUGCCGCGUGAGUGAGGAAGGCCUUAGGGUUGUAAAGCUCUUUCACCCGCGACGAUAAUGACGGUAGCGGGAGAAGAAGCCCCGGCUAACUUCGUGCCAGCAGCCGCCGCCGUAAG
rnacentral:rRNA from 1 species